rnacentral:misc_RNA from 1 species
GAAGAACGUAGCGAAAUGCGAUAAGUAAUGUGAAUUGCAGAAUUCAGUGAAUCAUCGAAUCUUUGAACGCACAUUGCGCCCGCCAGUAUUCUGGCGGGCAUGCCUGUUCGAGCGUCAUUUCAACCAUCAAGCCCCAGGCUUGUGUUGGAGCCCUGCGGCUGCCGCAGCCUCCCAAAACCAGUGGCGGGCUCGCUAUCACACCGAGUGCAGUAGUUUACUCUUCGCUCAGGGCGUGUGGCGGGUGCUAGCCGUAAAACCCCCAACUUCUCAAGGUUGACCUCGGAUCAGGUAGGAAUACCCGCUGAACUUAAGCAUAUCAAUAAGCGGAGGA